UACGAAGGGGGCUAGCGUUGUUCGGAAUUACUGGGCGUAAAGGGCGCGCAGGCGGCCGCUCAAGUCAGGUGUGAAAGCCCCGGGCUCAACCUGGGAACUGCGGUUGAAACUGGCGAACUAGAAUCUGGCAGAGGGGGGUGGAAUUCCACGUGUAGCAGUGAAAUGCGUAGAGAUGUGGAGGAACACCGAUGGCGAAGGCAGCCCCCUGGGCUGAGAUUGACGCUCAGGCACGAAAGCGUGGGGAGCAAACAGG
rnacentral:rRNA from 1 species